rnacentral:miRNA from 14 species
GGUGCAUGCGUGUGUGCAUGCGUGUGUGUGUGUGUGUGUGUGUGUGUGUGUAUGCGUGCACCCUCAAGGA